rnacentral:rRNA from 1 species
GUGGGGAAUAUUGGGCAAUGGGCGCAAGCCUGACCCAGCAACGCCGCGUGAAGGAAGAAGGUCUUCGGAUUGUAAACUUUUGUCUUAUGGGACGAUAAUGACGGUACCAUAGGAGGAAGCCACGACUAACUACGUGCCAGCAGUCGCGGUAAUACGUAGGUGGCGAGCGUUAUCCGGAAUUAUUGGGUGUAAAGGGUGCGUAGGCGGGGAGUAAAGUCAGAUGUGAAAGGCGUGUGCUCAACAUACGGAUUGCAUUUGAAACUUACUUUCUUGAGUGAAGUAGAGGCAAGCGGAAUUCCCAGUGUAGCGGUGAAAUGCGUAGAUAUUGGGAGGAACACCAGUGGCGAAGGCGGCUUGCUGGGCUUUUACUGACGCUGAGGCACGAAAGUGUGGGGAGCAAACAGGAUUAGAAACCCUAGUAGUCC